rnacentral:rRNA from 1 species
AGGCGUCGAGCGGCGGACGGGUGAGUAACGCGUAGGAAUCUACCCAGUAGUGGGGGAUAGCCCGGGGAAACUCGGAUUAAUACCGCAUACGCCCUACGGGGGAAAGGCCGGGAUCUUCGGACCGGUCGCUAUUGGAUGAGCCUGCGUUAGAUUAGCUAGUUGGUAGGGUAAAGGCCUACCAAGGCGACGAUCCUUAGCUGGUCUGAGAGGACGAUCAGCCACACUGGAACUGAGACACGGUCCAGACUCC